UAAACUAAGAACUCUAAUAUGGUCUCUGUGAAUUGAAAAAUUGGAGUUUAUGUCUUUCUAUGAAUAUAUGAAUCUCAGUAAAUAGUGGACUACUUGGAAAGCGCAUCUUAAGAAAAGAAAGUCUGGUUGUUUAAUUUUUGUUUUGCUUCCCUCUCCUCCCCCUCCCCCAAUUAUCUGAGUGUUUGUGUUGUACCAGCUACUUACUCAAACUUCAAGUAUUCGUUAUCUUUUUGACUGAGAAAUGUGGAUUUUUAAAUCUCCUACUAUAUUCAUUUUCAUUUAAUUGCAAUUGCUACCUUUAGGAUGGUUGGAGAAAUGCCAAACCAUGAGGGAGAUAGAAAGUACACAAAACCAAAUAAACCUUUUCACAAAGGCAUAAGAAGAUGAAUAUAUCAUCUUGGAGCCCUCUCUCAAUCUUUCCUUUCAUUUUCUUUGUUAUAUCUUUGAAGAUGAUUAGAUUUAUGUAAAUCUUAUCUUGCCGAAAGCACUUUACUUUUCUUUAUAAAUUCAAAUUGGCAUCCAUUUUUUUUGGAGUCAUAAUGCCUUAUCUGGCAUGACAUUGAGAUGCGGCUUUCAUCCACUCUUAUUUAUUUGUUGCAUUUUCUAAAACCUUCCUUUCUUUUGGGGAAAAAAAGGAAAGCUUUAUUUAUAUAUAUGUUAUCAGUCAUGCUUUGGAAAGCAAUGCUUAUCAAUUUUAAUUUAUUUGUUUUUAGGUGUAGGGGUUGCACGUUUGCAUCAUUGGGAAAAAUGAUAUUUAUUGGCUUUCCUGUUUCCAAACAUUUCAAUGGUUCUUUGACACUUGUGUUCCAAACGUAAAUUUAUAAGAAGGAAUUAUCACCAUGUUAGCUGGCAUAUGUUGUAGGGAGGUUUUUGAGGGAAAUUGCUGGCCAAGCAUGGUACUUGGGGUAUGAUGGAAAUUUUACCCAAUUACAUAACACAAAGUGGUCUUGUAGAUGUGUGUAAUGAAGUUCAAGUACAUUUUAUUUGACACGCUGGUGGUGAUUGGCUAGGAGGAAAUUAUUAGUCAUGCACCUAACCUCAUACUUUUAACAUAUCAUGGCACAAUUACAGAGAACAUUUGCAAGUAUGACUAUGGAUGGUGGCUUGAAUGUUCAAU
rnacentral:misc_RNA from 1 species